rnacentral:rRNA from 1 species
UACGUAGGGUGCAAGCGUUGUCCGGAAUUAUUGGGCGUAAAGAGCUCGUAGGCGGUUUGUCGCGUCUGCUGUGAAAACGCGAGGCUCAACCUCGCGCCUGCAGUGGGUACGGGCAGACUGGAGUGCGGUAGGGGAGAUUGGAAUUCCUGGUGUAGUGGUGAAAUGCGCAGAUAUCAGGAGGAACACUCGUGGCGAAAGCGAGCUACUGGACAAUUCCUGACGCUGAGGCUCGAAGGCUAGGGUAGCGAAAGGG